UGAAAAGGUAAAACUUGCUUUUUAUUGUUUCUAGAGUAGUUAAAGCUUGUGUGGACAAUGGAAUUAAUGAAUCAAAAACAUUUGUCGGUUACAGUGGGCAGUGAUAAAGGCAAUCCUUUUCCGAGCUGGAAAAGAUAAAAGUCAGGGAGGAUGAAGAUCAUGGAGGGAUUUGACAAAAAAGAGAGACGAUGGCCUGCUGAAGACCUCUUAGACAGUGAAACCUCAAAUGGAUUUGAAG